rnacentral:lncRNA from 1 species
UAAGUGUGUGUUCUGGUCGAAUACUCCAGAGAAGACAGGAGCUCCCUAUAUCAAACCCUAACUAGCUCAAAAUUGACAAAUUGAAAGGGGAAAUCUAACCCAAAUCGAAAUCCAAGUACAAAUUCGUGAUCACCUCGGUGAAGGGAUCAUAAGAAACUUGAUUUAUGAGAUUUGACACUUAACGAGCAAGGUGGAGGCUUGGGAAGAAACGGGUCAAACGAAUCAAGAAGGAAAAGAAAAGCGUAGCUCGGAUACGAGGUAAGUUAAGCUUACGCCUUUUAUUCUUACUACCAAAUACUUAUAAUGCACGUUGGAAUAAGUGGGAAUGGCAAGAAACCAUAAGUUAUGGUAAAAAGGGCAAAAAAAAAGGUAGACUUGUAAUCCGAACAUGGGUUAACAAAUAAUAAAAAGGAUUUGAAAGGACACCAUUUGGCAUAAGUAAAAAUGGGUCAAACAAAGCAAGAAACGACUUUUAAGCAAGAUGAAUUCAAAGAGUAAAUCGGAAUAGGUUAAAGGGAUGAAAUGGUAAUUAAAUACCAUCUCAUAAUUAUAAUUGGUCGUUUCGACUAAACGGGUCAAAUGGUGUUGUUAACACCAUUUGACAAUAAUAUCUUAUGAUCGAGUAUUGAGUUUUGUAAUCGCAGGAAUUUAACCCAUGGUUCGCAUUGCUAUUGAUUAGAAAUUAAUAGCAAAAGGUAUGUAAAUAGGUCAAUCCCAUGACUCGAGCCAGGUACGCAUAGUUAAGUUGCUAGUUAAACAUGCAAAUAUGGGUCAAAUAAUUAGCGAGAGUCCUUCGUCGUAAAUGAGGGACUAAAAAUGACCAAAACGCCUGUGAUUUGUAAAUCGGGAAAAUGACCCUUAGAGGUCGUUUAGAUACUAGUAUUAUGAUUAUGCAACUCUUAGAUAUAUGUAAGGGUUGUAAGUAUAAACCUUGAGAGUCAAAUGCCUAAGAACGGGUCAAUUACGUAGAAUGACUAUCCAAAGGGUAAAAUUAAGGAUAACGGUCUAUUAUGUUAAAUCCAUUACAAAAUAGUUGUUGUGGAAUAUAAUAGGCUAUUUAAAAAAAUGGAAAUACGAAGUGUACACAGAGAAAUGCGAGUUUGAUGCUUAAAUGCAUGAAAACUUCUAAACGGGUCAAAAUAAAGUAGGUGGUAAAAUGUUGGCUUAAGUGUAAUAAAGAAAAACGUAAACCGGGUAACGAGAGCGUAAACUAUAUGAAUAAUGGAUCCGGGUAAUGGAUGAUAGCUUAGACAUGUUAAGAAAUGAACCCCAAGCAAUUAAAAUGAGUUUGGAUAGGUUUGGAUGCAAAUUUGAUGAAAAAUAAAUGUGCAGAGUUAACACGGGCGGGUGAACUUUUGACACGGCCGGGUGAAGGGGCUGUGAAAAAUAUAUGUUAAGCUGACACGGCCCGGUGAUCUUUUGACACGGCCGGGUGAAUGGGCUGAAAACAAAAUAUAUAAUUUCUUGUAUUUAAUUAUUUUGUUCAAAUGCCUUGAUUUCUAAUCUUUUAAAUGAAAUUGUAUGAUAGGUAAAGAUGCUCUUUAGACCCUGGAGGAUGAUCAAGCCAUGUCAAGAACCGAACACACCGAACAAAGUUUCCGCAUUUUGUCUAUUUUGUUUUAUGACAUGUAAACACUUGAAAUUAUGUUUUGAAAGUUUAUCUAGCAUGAUGUAGGCUUGAAUGUUAUGAUCAAGUAUGAUCUUAAAACCAUGAAGUUUUUGUAAACUCGAAAAAUUUUGUACUAAAUGCAUGAUAAAUGUCAUAAAUCCUGUUAUU